AUGCCCAAGCCCAUCUGUUUAGGGAGCGAACAAAUGGGCAACAAGCGGAAGAAACUUUGCAUCUGCCUGGUAGGUGCCUUCAUCCUCAUAUUAGCUGCCAUAUUAAUCACUCUCACCUGCUGUGUGGUCGAGUGCCAGGGGCAGCUGAAGACCUCAGAUCUGGAUGAGAAACUCGCCAACCUGCAGGAGGAGAAGAGGUCCCUGGAAAAGCAGCGGGAUGGGGUGAGGGCAGAUGUCACGGCGCUGCGGUCAGAACUGGCCGCCACCAAUCAGACCCUUUGGGAGACGCGCGGGCGCUGGGACUUCUGCAGGAGCCUGACGCAUAAGCUGCAGAACAACAUCACUGCCCUGAGCGACAAAAUCACACAGCUGGAAGCCAGAGACUCUGAGCGGGAGGCCAAGGAACAAGGUUUACAAGAUGAAAAUGGCAGGCUCAGAGAGCAGCUCUCCAGCCAGUCCCAGCAGCUGCAGGAUUCCCAGCAAGAAUUCCAGAAGCAAAAGUAGAGACCUACCAGUCCCAACCCCGUGGGGCUGGGGUGGGGCCCUCCCCCGACAGAGCUCUGAGGCU
rnacentral:lncRNA from 1 species